rnacentral:lncRNA from 1 species
UAUAGACGACGCGUUAGGGUGCCGAUUUUUUAGGAAAACCUAAAUUAUAGGUUUUAGGAGACCCAUUAGAGAUGCCCUAACGCUUAUAUAAAUAAUCAGCUAGAAUCUCCAUUAUAAGAAACAUUGAAUCUUCAUCAUGUUUUUCUACUACAACAUCGUUGUUGUUGUUGUUGAUUUCAUUUCUUCCUCUUUUCGAACCCCUUUCUUCCAUUCCAAUGCUUCUCUUCAUCUUCUUACUUCUUGAUUUGGGAGUCUAGGGUUUUUGAUUUUGCUUUGAUAG